rnacentral:rRNA from 1 species
AUACGGAGGAUGCGAGCGUUACCCGGAUUUAUUAAGUUUAAAGGGAGCGUAGAUGGGAUAUUAAGUCAGCUGUGAAAGUUUGGGGCUCAACCUUAAAAUUGCAGUUGAUACUGGUUUCCUUGAGUACGGUACAGGUGGGCGGAAUUCGUGGUGUAGCGGUGAAAUGCUUAGAUAUCACGAAGAACUCCGAUCGCGAAGGCAGCUCACCGGGCCGGAACUGACACUGAUGCUCGAAAGUGCGGGUAUCAAACAGGAUUAGAUACCCUGGUAGUCCGCACAGUAAACGAUGAAUACUCGCUGUUUGCGAUACACGGUAAGCGGCCAAGCGAAAGCGUUAAGUAUUCCACCUGGGGAGUACGCCGGCAACGGUGAAACUCAAAUGAAUUGGCGGGG